UUCACUGGAGGAAGGUUGAUUUGUAGUGGGGAUGUACAUCGGUUGGUUGGCUGUAUGGCCGAAGGAGAAGGGAGAUGAAUAAAGGUUGGCCCUGACAGGCCACAGAGUGGAUCUGG